AGUUAGUAGUCGACCACUAUAAAGAGGAGAGUUUUUGUCCAACAUUUGUUAAGUACAUCCGUACAUGGCAUCAGUAAUACGCAUCAACCUAGAAAUUCAAAUAAGAGCUUGCAGAUACUGAUAUAUCUCAUCAUGGUCCAAUGCUAUCUUCCUCCGGGAAGUACGGGUCCAAAUAUGGCCAUUACUUAAUUCUAGGGGAGUCAUAUGCAGACUGUUUUAUCCAUUCAAACAAAAGAAAAUAACAAAUAGAAAUACUUCCAGUGUUGGUUAUUGAUAACCAGCAACUAAAUACAGAGUCUAACCCUUACAAAAGCCUUUUGCUGUUACCACCAGACAAACUUCUGUCGCAGCAAACCACUGAUAAUCGCAUGCUUAGUUUAUAAUAACAAGUCAGCAUGUCAUAGGAGUUGGGGACACAUAAGGAGCAAAAGAUUUAUUUACAAAACAGCCAUAGGGAAAAAGUAUAAACCAGGCAAUGUUAACUUAUCAACAGAAAUAACAAAGAGAAAAAAGAAGAAACAUGUUAGGAGUCCUAAAAAGACUUGCAUAUACACCUUUGACGUUUUUCUGCACAAGGGAGCUGGUAAUACCAAGAACGAUUACCUACAUCUUCAUUUGAAUAUUUUGGCAAGUAGAAAUGCCUCCUUUUCUCAGCUGCUGUAUUGCAGUGUAGAGCUUCCUUCGAGGCCCAACAGCAAAUACACCAAUCUCUUUGAGAUCUUCAAGUGUAAGCAGUGGCAAAGCUUCCUCAUCCACUUCAUGCAUUUCAAAUACACCAGCAUAUUUACCAAAUCCUUGAUCCUCCAACCAUCUUGUGACAGUAUUUACAUCACAACCCCCAGAUUUCAUCUCAUCCCACGUAUUAUUAGAUGCAGGAGAUGCAUUAUUCCCUUCAUUACUAGUAUCCCCCUGCCAAAACUCAUUGGGGUUCCUAUGUUGUCUUGUAUCAUAAGCAGGUCCAUCCAUAUCAAACUCAUAAGCCUCUUUACUUGUAGCUGGUGUUUCGUGAUCUGACAAGUCCUUAAAGCCAUUAUCAGGGUAAUAUUCAUUGCAUUCAUCUGAAGUAAACCUCACAAAAUCCUUUACACUGCAUUCCUUACUAUCUUCAUUACUAAAUUGGGGUUUAAGUUUAGAACUCCAAAUACUGCCAAAAACAUUGCUAGUCCCUUUGAUGCCACGGCCUCGCCGCUUCAUGACCCUACAUUUCCUGGUUAUGGUACCAAAAUUCAAUUUGAGCUUGGUCAUAUCAAUUUCAUCUGAAUUCACUAAUUCAAAAGCUGAUUUUGAAGAGUUCGGAUUCUUAUUCUCUCUGUUCUGCUGCAAAUCAGCUGGAAUCCUUGGAGAAACACCAGGGCCCAAAACUACAAACUCAGGAGAAGUUUGCAUAGUAAACCCAUACAAGUCACUGUGUGCAGUAUUAUUAGGGUUCAGCACAUCAUUUUCAUAACUGUUGAGCCCUAAAUUUUCCUUGGUUUUCUGAGAGAACCCACAUGCAAAAGCUGCAGGAACAUCCCCUAUUUCCCCCAACCUAACAUUUGGGCGUCUCUGCCUUUUUGAAUUCAUACUUAGAACUAACAUUUCCCACAAAUACCUGUAACUCAAAUCCUGAAGAAAAUCCUUGUAAGAGAGAAGGAGCUCCACUAAAGUUAGAAUUUUUCCCUGCUUCCCAAAGAGGAGUGUUGAUGAAUUAGGCUUUUAAGAAAAAAUUCACACCAACUCUAUCUGGAAGUGUGUUUGGUUUCAUUCUGAAGGCAAAAAUACAGGAAGGCUUGGCUUCUUGUCCGUGUGCGACAUAGAUUUAGAUUAGACAAGGACACAGAUAGAGACAGAUUUUGAAAUAUAAAAGAGUCAAAUUGGAAAGUUAUCUUCCCCCUCCUGAGCAAUCCAUCAGAAAAAAGAUUAGAUACACUUAAAUUACGCUAGAGUGUACUUCUUAUCAUGCCAUCCGCUCGACAUGUGGCCACAGGGAGACUCAGUCCACGCGUAAUGAGAUAAAUGGGAAUUGGUGAUUUUUUAAAUACUAAUCUUUUGUGGGUUAAAGAUGCUUUCUUGGAGACAAUGGGCUCAAUUUUUCUGUGAGUCCUUUAAGAG
rnacentral:misc_RNA from 1 species